rnacentral:lncRNA from 1 species
GAUAUUUACAAGGUUAGCUUAUGAAGGAAGAUUUUCUCCUCCUUUUCUUCCAACAAAGUCGUCCCCUUUCCUCUGCCAAACCCUUAGUUUGUUUUUUUUUAAUUUCUUUGAUUUCAAGAGGCACUCCAAUUAUACAAGAGGUUAUCCAAUAGCGCCACUGCUCGGAGCUUGCUCGACGUGCCGCGACGUCUCAUCUCUCCCGACGAAGCGGAAGCUGCCGUUGCUCUGGUUCGAUGAUGCUGCGUCUUUCUUGGCCGAGAAUCGACGCGCCACCGUUGCUCCCUCCUCGGUUCUCUCUCUUUACAACUCUAAGGGAGGGUGGGGUCUUCUUCUAGGCUGAGCCCUAGCUGCACUUCCUCGUUAAUCGCCAUCGCCGUGUUCUGGAUUCUAGCAGCGAAAGUUACGCCGCUGCUGUUCCUGGCAAUUCCCAUCUUCUCGUCGCUCGGCGUCGAUCCACGGCUCACCCCCAUGGAACAGGGACCGCUGGCCUUCCCUUAAUCACCUAAAGCUAAGCCCUUCUUCCUCUUUAUGUUCUAUGGGGUAAAUUCAAAUGAUGUUGUUGUGUACUAGUUAACCCUAGUGGAGUUGUGGCUCUCCUUGCUUGUUCAUAAGUGAAUUUGGGCAUUCUUGAGGUAAGAUAGCUAAAUAUUUGAUGCUUAUGUAAUUGAACUCUUGGGAGCGUGGAAUGUGAUUAUGUGAUAAAAAUUGGGGGAUAUUGGGCAUGUUACUAUGUGUUGAGCCAAUUUUGAUUUAUGAAUAAGGGAAGAACUACUUUUAGUAUUGAUUGGAGAAGUUGUGGUGAUUAAUUGUGUUAUAACUUGCUUGCUUUGUGUUGAUGAGUUAAACAUGAGUUAAAUUUCAAGCUAAAGCAUGCUAAUGUGUAGUAAGAUGAUGUAUUGAGUUCCUAUGGUUUGUAUUUGACAAACGUAUGAAUUAUAUGUUAAGUUGAAACAAAGGGGCUUUGCUGUCAGUUUUCAGCUUGACAGGGCAGUAUGUUUCGAGGUGCUUUUGAUGAUGUUUUCGUAAUCCAAAUAACUUGAAAUUUUUACUGUAAUAACUUCAU